AAAAAAGUGCGUGAGAAAAGGAUUAUUCUGAUAGGAUAAAUUAUAUAACUUACGUUAUCUUUAUUA
rnacentral:tRNA from 1 species